CAGUUUAUAGUAGUGGUUUGAAUGUUGGACUACAACUCUGGAGACCAGGGUUCGAUUCCCAGCUGAGUCA